CUCGCCGCCCUUUGCCCUCCGACCCCCGCCGAGUUGAACCCCGCGACCCCCCGCAGCCCCCGCCCUCUCCGGCCCUCGCACGGCCCCGCGCCCGCGGACAAAGCUUCGGACACCCCGAGCGAGCGGUCACCACCCCCUGACCCCGGGCCGCCCGCGCGCGCGCGCGCCCCCGCCCCGGCCCCGCGCGGGUCCCCGUACCUUGGCAUCCCGGCCGGGUCCUAGCAGAGACAGAUGAACACCUACUUCCUGCCUAACGCUGGCCUGGGCCAGACAUCACAGCAAAGUACAGCACAAGGCCUCAGGGAUGACAAGAGCCAAAUUGAAUCCAGGCUGAAGCCAGGUGCCAGGAGGCAUAUCCAGGAAGUCUGCUCUGGGUACCAGAGGCACUUGGGCCCCCA